rnacentral:miRNA from 1 species
CACCCUGCUCCUCCUUGGGUCUUCAUUCCUCUGGCCAGCAUUGGUGUUCCUUACUAGAGCUGGAGGGAUCUGGACAGAGGAAUGAAGACCCAAGGAGGAGCAGGGUGCAC